rnacentral:rRNA from 1 species
GAUAAACGCUGGCGGCGUGCCUAAUACAUGCAAGUCGAACGGGGAAAGCUUUCGGGUGAGUACUAGUGGCGCACGGGUGAGGAACGCGUGGAUAAUCUGCCUUAGAGUGGGGGAUAACUAGUCGAAAGAUUAGCUAAUACCGCAUAAGACCACAGGAGCUGCAGCUCAAGGGGUCAAAGGUUUUUCGCUCUAAGAUGAGUCCGCGUAAGAUUAGCUAGUUGGUGAGGUAACGGCUCACCAAGGCGACGAUCUUUAACUGGUCUGAGAGGAUGAUCAGUCACACUGGAACUGAGACACGGUCCAGACUCCUACGGGAGGCAGCAGUAGGGAAUAUUGCACAAUGGAGGAAACUCUGAUGCAGCGACGCCGCGUGAGUGAUGAAGGCCUUCGGGUCGUAAAGCUCUGUCGCAGGGGAAUAACACAAUGAAGGUACCCUGUAAGAAAGGAUCGGCUAACUUCGUGCCAGCCGCCGCAGUAACAC